GAGAAAAGGUUUGAAAGCCUCUA
rnacentral:siRNA from 1 species